UACGUAGGGGGCAAGCGUUGUCCGGAAUCAUUGGGCGUAAAGCGCGUGUAGGCGGCUUGGUAAGUCCGCUCUGAAAGCCCGGGGCUCAACCCCGGGAGGCGGGUGGAUACUGUCAAGCUCGAGUCCGGAAGAGGCGAGUGGAAUUCCUGGUGUAGCGGUGAAAUGCGCAGAUAUCAGGAGGAACACCAAUGGCGAAGGCAGCUCGCUGGGACGGGACUGACGCUGAGACGCGAAAGCGUGGGGAGCAAACAGG
rnacentral:rRNA from 1 species